AGCUGAACGCUCCCCCUUUCCCACACAAAUUGUUGUGCAGUGGCUUCUUCUGGCUGUGUGUAAAUUCUCUUGUGAAAAGCUGCAGCUGCCCAGGCAGACCUACCUGGGACUGACUUUAUGCUUUAACCCUGAGUUCCUUAGUUCCAAAUUUGAUUGGACUAAUACUUUCCAUAUUGAAGAUUUAUAUUUUCCCAUGAAAAGAACACACUACAAAUUUGAGCAUCAUCCAUCAGGCUUGAAGGAAAUGGGAAUGGAGACUUUGACGAAUCCCAGGGAUGAGCACAGCAGAGCUUUCAGCAGUGUUUGCCCACUCAUCCAGCUCUUCCCUUUAUGUCACAUCUGAAUGAAAACUUUUGCAUGUAAGAAUGUAGUGGGAUGCUCUUGGUUUCUGUUUUGAAACAGCUGAAGCUUCAGUGGGAUUUUAGCAGGGAAUUGUAGGAUAAAUCGAGUUGGAAGGCUCAGAGUUCACAGCAAGCUUAAAUUCAUUGUUGUUUGUAAGCCCUUAACAUUGUGUGUUUGACCACGACAUACGUGUUGGUAAAAACAGUCUUUUAUGGCACCAAGUGACUCACAAACAAAUAGUGAGAACCCUAGAUUUUCAUGUGACCACCACAAUACAGAGCAGGAAAGCAGCAGGGUGUGGGGAAUUUAUGAGAGUAGCGUGGAUAACACAGGAAGCCAUAUUCAGAGUGUAGCUCCUGACCUUUAAUGAUACUGACUUGACUCUGCUUUCCUCACAAUAAUAUGAACAGUCACAGGAGCGAGAACACAGAUUUGCAGAUCAUCAGAAAAAGGCUGUUGAUUUUUGUUUUUUGGAAAAUUUUGCUUCGGUUAGGGUGAAGAAUCACAAAUAAAGUGUUAUUUUAAGGAUGACGUGCUUUUCUUGGGAUAUGUAUUUUAAUGGAUAUACCUAUAAUUUAAAUCAAAUAAAUUCAAAUUAACUUCAAGCAAGAACACUCUAGUCUGUGGAAGCACAGGAAGAUUGUUUAGCUAGGCAGGAUGUUAGUAUCUCUGCAGAAACCAACCAACACAGCAGGAUUAACGUAUAUUCUCAGAGUGAUGGUGUGACAUUUUUCAUGACACAAAUAAGCAUUACAUAUGCAUUAUAUGACAGUUGUAAUAUGGUGCUUCGAGCAUUCCCCCAUUGCUGUUUCUGGCAAUAGGUUGACAUUAGCCAAGAGCGGAAAAUACGUUUUCCUGUAACUCCCAGGCUUUCUUAUCUAAAUUUUAAUUUGGCCAGAGUCCAGGACUUAGUUUAUGACCUCUGAUGAGCUCACAGUACAAAGCAGAAAAGACUAACACUUCAUAUGCGUAUUCUUACCCAUUUCCUUUCUCUUGUAUUAUUUCUCACUGUUUCUGUAACUUUCCAUUCUUGUACUAACAUUGCACAAUCUUUUGGCAAUGUAGUUUAAUUACUUUCUUUAUUUACAAUUAAUUGAUACUGGAAAUUCACUCUCUGGGAACAGUUAUAAAUGGAAAUUUUCAUUUUUUAAUAACUACAAAAAAAUAAUAGUCUGUAAGUUGAACUGUUUUUAUGUGGCCUGUUUUGUAGAUGGGUUUCCUUUCACGUCUCAUCAACUGCUACUCAAAAAAUAUUUUAUAGCAUUAAUAAAAUGGAAGUGGAGAGUAUCUGAUGACAG
rnacentral:lncRNA from 7 species